rnacentral:rRNA from 1 species
ACGUAGGGGGCGAGCGUUGUCCGGAAUUAUUGGGCGUAAAGAGCUCGUAGGCGGUUACGCAAGUCGGGUGGGAAAUCUCCAGGCUCAACCUGGAGCCUUCGCUCGAUACUGCGUUGACUAGAGUCCGGUAGGGGAGUGUGGAAUUCCCGGUGUAGCGGUGAAAUGCGCAGAUAUCGGGAGGAACACCGGCGGCGAAGGCGGCACUCUGGGCCGGUACUGACGCUGAGGAGCGAAAGCGUGGGGAGCAAACAGGA